GCUCAAAUAGUCUAGGUGGUUAGGGCACCACGUUGUGGAUCACAUAUUCAGAACCGUGGAAACCCCAGUUCGAGUCUGGGUUUGGGCA